AGCGAACGCUGGCGGCAGGCUUAACACAUGCAAGUCGAACGGGCGUAGCAAUACGUCAGUGGCAGACGGGUGAGUAACGCGUGGGAACGUACCUUUUGGUUCGGAACAACCCAGGGAAACUUGGGCUAAUACCGGAUAAGCCCUUACGGGGAAAGAUUUAUCGCCGAAAGAUCGGCCCGCGUCUGAUUAGCUAGUUGGUGAGGUAACGGCUCACCAAGGCGACGAUCAGUAGCUGGUCUGAGAGGANGAUCAGCCACAUUGGGACUGAGACACGGCCCAAACUCCUACGGGAGGCAGCAGUAAGGAAUAUUGGUCAAUGGACGCAAGUCUGAACCAGCCAUGCCGCGUGAAGGAUGAAGGCCCUCUGGGUUGUAAACUUCUUUUAUCUGGGAAGAAAUGCCUGUUUUCUAACGGGUUUGACGGUACCAGAGGAAUAAGCACCGGCUAACUCCGUGCCAGCAG
rnacentral:rRNA from 1 species